GGUCGUAUGGCGCAAUUGGUUAGCGCGUGGUGCUAAUAACGCCAAGGCUGUGGGUUCGAGUCCCACUAUGACCA
rnacentral:tRNA from 1 species